UGUAUCUGAUUUUGCUCAUUUUGUAAAGCGGAGAUCAAUGAGUCUCGGAGCCUUCCACCAACCUCACUUUAGGCUCCUGCUGAAGUACAUAACUGAUUUAGACAAAAACACAAAUGCUCUGGGAGAAACUCUUUUUUGAAGACACUGAAUGGAUUCCUUCUAGACCCCGUUGACUUCUCUCAAGUGGGUCUCACCAUCACAGUUAGUGAAACAACACCUGACUCAGGACAGAGGAAGAGAGUGUCUAAUGGUUGGAAGAUCUAGAGGAGACUUCAUGGCCCAGGGUGGAUGUGAGAAUCCAAUCAGGGUGAAGGCAGUGCUUCCAUGUGGAGGUUGGAGUGUGGGAGUCGGACACAGAGUCGGGCAAGGAGGGCAUUUCCAUUGUCUGAUGUAGGAGAUGCAAAUAAUGGACAUGCAAGUAGUAUUCACUACAGCGUCAUUUGUGAUUGCAAAAGACUGAGAGAAAACAUGUUUAUAAGCAGCAGACUAGUAAAAUAAAUCAUUGUGCAGCAACAAAAUGGAAACAAGAAUGAAGAAACCAUGUACUAAUGUGAAAAUAUCUCUAAGAUGUAAAACAGGAAUGAAGCAAGGUAUAAAAAAUGCUGCAACAUGUGCUGUGUGUUACUGUCAGUGUACAAAAGGAUAAAAAAUAAUA